GUAGGCAAGAUACAACAAGAGAGGGUUGUGCUGUGUGUGUGUGUGUGUCUCCUAUUUGACUAUUCAAAUUGUUCCUUUCCUGAUUUUUUUCUGUCCUGACAAUAAUCUCAUUAUUGAAAAAUCACAUUCGCAGAAACAGUAAGCAGUCAACAUAAAGUAGAACUACAUGAUGCCACUUCUUCUUUUGUUCCAUACGCGUAAUUGAAGGGAAAAGAGACAAACGGCCUAUUGUAAGCGGAGGCACCAUUUGUUCCAGACUGCUCCAUCCAGGGAUCUAGCCUUUUUUUAUAUCGCCACCAGCGCCACAGCCAUCUUUCUGACACAUGAGGGUGUUUCCUCUGGCACAUCAGCUCAUGUGGAGAGUACACAAGGUAUUAGGGAGCUGUGACUCCCAGCACUGGUGCUUUACUGGAAUCGUUAACGGUUUUAUAAUUCCCAGUUGGCUACCGGUUCCAGGAAAUGACUCGCAGUCAGUUGCCAUGGCAAGUCAGCUGACACAUCCUGACAUGUGUGGUGGUGCGACGCUGUCGACGUGCUACCAAGUUCACCUGUCACCCAAAGGCCCACAGUGAUUUGUCCUGUCGAUCAUUCAUCUCUUCUUCCUCAGAAGGUCAAAGGAAGGCUUAGACUGAUGACAGAGACAAGAGAUCACAGCAUCUGUCUUUGCCUUCGUCCUUAUGGCAAAGAGGAGGAGGAGGACAGGGAAGGUGAAGUUGGAAAACUCGACUCUAAUGAUAUUUGACCUCACCGCCCCUGACCUGACCCCACUGGUUCACAUAUGGCUGAAGGCAAUGGAAAAGAGGUCAAGAAGGUAAUCACUGACCCAUGUUAAAAGACAGACAAAGGAGGAAGGAGAUAAAAAAGAGAGACAGAGAAACAAGAAAAGGGGAAACUGAAAAGCUGAAAAUGACCGUAACAUGAUGUCUGGUUCAAAGUUAUUUAAUUUGUCCUCAUUUUAAAGCUUUUUAUGCACUGGAUGCAUCUCCACAUAAUGGUACUCAUAUUUCCAGAGUGCAUUUAAAAAUACUCCCCUCAUGCACAAACGUAGUUGAAGAGAAAAGAUAGAUCACAUGCUGCACAAUUUAUGAGGCUCUAUCUUAAGACCCUGAGGCCUUAAUGGGAUUUAUACAUUUUGUUCUUUGGUCUCUGGAGAUAUUGUUUGUUUAUUUUUAAUUAUAGGGAAAUAUAUCGUAGUUAUACAGCUUUUCUAACUUCUAGUUCUCCGUUUUUGUCUUUAUUGCCAUCACGCAUAUACAUGUGACACAUACAGUACAAUGCGCUCAACUGUUUGCCGCAUUGCUAAUGUGAGUCACAUUCGCUCUCCUUGCUGCUGCCUAUAGAGUUGUUGUUGUGUUAAGGUUAUAUAUGACCUGAGUCACACUAAUGAUUUAUAUCCUGCCACCAUUAAAACACCAGCUGUUACAGUGUGGUUUACAUUCAUUACACAUAAUAGAACUAUUCACAGAGUGUCCAUAUACACUCACAGACACACUAGCAAGACACACAUGUAAGUCCAUUAAUGUAAAGUAGCCAGUGAGACCAAAAGUAGAUUUUCUUUCAAGAAGUCACUGAAACAAUAAUUGAUUAAUCUCACAUAGAUGUUAUGGUGGUUAUUGCUGUUUCGGUACCUUUUUGAUUGUUUAUAUUUUCUUUUUGUUGCUGUGUAUUUGGACAAUUUUGUUUUUGUUUCCAUUGUAGGCUUCUCUUGCCUGUGUAGAGCAAUUUCACUUAUUUUCUAUCUUUAUAUUUUGUUUGCUUUGCUUUUUCUUAUUUUCUUGAUAGUUUGAUUUUAAAUUGUUUGUUUUAUAGUUUUUGUGUGGACACCAGGAAGACUAGCGACCACUUUGUGGAAGCUAAUGGGGAUCCAAAUAAAGAAUAUAUGUGAAAGA